GGUGCGGUGUAGCGUGAUGGGUAAACGACGGCGAAGCCCGCAAGGGUGGUGGCGAAUGAUGCAGGUUCGAGUCCUGCCCCGCAUCA
rnacentral:tRNA from 1 species